ensembl:snRNA
GUGUUGAAUGAAAGGAGUAAAGGUUACUUCUCCCCUUGACAAGAUUGGAAGAGUCCCUUGGACCUAACAUGUGUACAGUUAAGGCAUUCCCAACUACUUUGCAGCACCUAACAACUGGGGUGG